UCCUCGAUAGUUCAGCCGGUAGAACGACGGACUGUUAAUCCGUAUGUCGCAGGUUCGAGUCCUGCUCGAGGAGCCA
rnacentral:tRNA from 3 species